rnacentral:rRNA from 1 species
AUUGAACGCUGGCGGCAUGCCUUACACAUGCAAGUCGAACGGCAGCACGGGGGCAACCCUGGUGGCGAGUGGCGAACGGGUGAGUAAUGCAUCGGAACGUGCCCAGUAGUGGGGGAUAACCAGUUGAAAGACUGGCUAAUACCGCAUACGACCUAAGGGUGAAAGCGGGGGACCGUAAGGCCUCGCGCUAUUGGAGCGGCCGAUGUCGGAUUAGCUAGUAGGUUGGGUAAAGGCUGACCUAGGCGACGAUCCGUAGCUGGUCUGAGAGGAUGAUCAGCCACACUGGGACUGAGACACGGCCCAGACUCCUACGGGAGGCAG